rnacentral:tRNA from 1 species
UCCCGCAAGCAGCCAAAGUGCAAAUUUGGAGAAGCACCCCAAAAGGGUGCCGGGGCUUCUCCCGUUUUAAGAGAGACGGGAGAAGA